AUGGCAACCGAGGCCGGCCACCCUGCCUGGUUCCUCACUGCCGCCGAAGGCUACGUCGGCGACCGGUCCAACGAGCGGACCGCCACAGGCUUCACGAGGAAGGGCCUGAGCAUCAAGGCGUCCUUUUUCCCCAACCGCCCGCCUCAACCAUCCAAGCUGUGGGUGCACUGCCAGGAGGCCGUGCACGUCGACACCCCCCGUGUCCUCUGCAUCGCCGGCGACCUGAUCCUCUUCCGGGUCGACAUCUCCGAUUGUGUCCCAGACAGCCCCGAUGUUUUGAAGACAGAGGUUGGUAUUCUUCCCCGUGGUCUCAAGCACUACACCAUCGCUGCGCUGGUUCCUCAUCCUCUCAAGCUCCACAAUUUCCAGCUCCAUUUGUUUCACUCCGAGACAUUGAGCUGGACCACCAUGGCGCUGCCUGUGGCGGAGCCACAGCAGGACCUCGAUUGUGAGAUCCCCACUGACAGGGAUCUUCGUUGCCAUAAUACUUCCAACGUUAUCACAAUCGGUGGUGAAUAUGGGACCAUGGGCUGGGUAGAUCUCUGGCGAGGCAUCCUGUUCUGUGAUGUGCUGCGUGAGAAGCCAACUCUCAGGGGAAUACCCUUGCCGCCGCCGAUUGAAUUUAUCACCAGCAGCGAUUAUUUUGGCCGUGCAAUGGAUUGCCGAGGCAUUGCCUUCGUCAAUGGCUGUCUCAAGUUUGUCCAACUGGACAUCAUCUCCAGUUACGACAUAGACGACAUAGACCCGGAAACAGAGUAUCCAACUUUGCUCGUGGAUGACUGGGCGAUCUCCUCAUGGAUCAAUCCCACGAUGGAGAAUUCUUACGAAGCUUGGGGCGAGCCUGAAUGCACGGUCCGAGCUGCUGAGGUCACAAUCAAAACCGAUAUGAUUUCGCACUCUACUGGAAUGCUGCUGCGGCCAUCAGAUGAGAGUUCUGAUGACUCAGAAGAAGAUGCUGACUACUUACGGCACCUUGUGGUCUCUGACCCCUCUCCGAGCUUGGACGGUGAUGGUUUUGUUUACUUAAUUGCCAGGGAGAAAUUAUAUCACCCAAAGUCAUGGAUCCUUGCUCUUGACAUGAAUACCAAGACGCUUCAAAGCGCUGAUCUGUUUGGCAUCGUAGAAGACCCAAGAGAUUCUGUCAUGUAUUGCACUGGCAGGUCUUCCUCCAAUACUUGA
rnacentral:rRNA from 1 species